AAGCUUAUAGCUCAGUUGGUCAGAGCAUACACCUGAUAAGUGUAAAGUCAGUAGUUCAAAUCUACUUAGGCUUA
rnacentral:tRNA from 1 species